CAUUCCUACGGGACGCAGCAGUGGGGGAUAUUGCACAAUGGGGGCAACCCUGAUGCAGCGACGCCGCGUGAGCGAUGGAGUACUUCGGUAUGUAAAGCUCUGUCAGCAGGGAAGAGAAUGACGGUACCUGACCAAGAAGCCCCGGCUAAAUACGUGCCAGCAGCCGCGGUAAUACGUAUGGGGCAAGCGUUAUCCGGAUUUACUGGGUGUAAAGGGAGCGUAGACGGCGAUGCAAGUCUGAAGUGAAAGGCGGGGGCCCAACCCCCGGACUGCUUUGGAAACUGUAUAGCUGGAGUGCAGGAGAG
rnacentral:rRNA from 1 species